rnacentral:rRNA from 1 species
UGCGAUGCAUUAGCUAGUUGGUAAGGGUAACGGGCUUUACCCAAGGCGAUGAUGCAUAGCCCGAGUUGAGAGACUGAUCGGGCCACAUUGGGACUGAGACACGGACCCAAAACUCCGUACGGGAGGCAGCAGUAGGGAAUCUUCCACAAUGGACGAAAGUCUGAUGGAGCAACGCCGCGUGAGUGAAGUAAGGUUUUCGGAUCGUAAAAGCUCUGUUGUUGGUGAAGAAGGAUAGAGGUAGUAACUGGCCUUUAUUUGACGGUAAUCAACCAGAAGUCACGGCUAACUACGUGCCAGCAGCCGGGUAAU